AACGAACGCUGGCGGCAUGCCUAACACAUGCAAGUCGAACGAGACCUUCGGGUCUAUGUGCGGACGGCUGCGUAACGCAUGGUAACCUGCCCUUAAGUUCGGAAUAACUCCCCGAAAGGGGUGCUAAUACCGGAUAAUGUCUUCGGACCAAAGAUUGUUGGCCUCUGGCUGGGCCCGCGUUGGAUUAGCUGGUUGGUAGGGUAAAAGCCUACCAAGGCGACGAUCCAUGGCUGGUCGGGGAGCAUGCUCAGCCACACUUGAACUGAGACACGGCCCCGAACGCUACGGGGGGGAGGAGUAGGGUACAUUAGGGGAGGGGCGCAGGUCUGACCACGCAACGCCGGGUGAGUGAUGAAGCGCUUAGUGUUCUAAAGCCGUUUUACCCGGGAUGAUAAUGACAGUACCGGGUGAAUAAGCACCGGCUAACUACGUG
rnacentral:rRNA from 1 species